rnacentral:rRNA from 1 species
UACGGAGGGUGCGAGCGUUGUCCGGAAUCACUGGGCGUAAAGGGCGCGUAGGCGGCCUGAUAAGUAGGGGGUGAAAUCCUGCGGCUUAACCGCAGGGCUGCCUUCUAGACUGUCAGGCUAGAGCACAGUAGAGGCAGGUGGAAUUCCCGGUGUAGCGGUGGAAUGCGUAGAGAUCGGGAAGAACAUCAGUGGCGAAGGCGGCCUCCUGGGCCAGCACUGACGCUCAUGCACGAAAGCGUGGGAGCAAACAGG